rnacentral:rRNA from 1 species
GAUGAACGCUAGCGGGAGGCUUAACACAUGCAAGUCGAGGGGCAUCACGGGGUAGCAAUACUCUGGUGGCGACCGGCGCACGGGUGAGUAACACGUAUGCAACCUGCCUCGUACAGGGGGAUAACCCGGAGAAAUUCGGACUAAUAUCCCAUAAUGAUAUUGAAAGGCAUCUUUUGAUAUUUAAAGCUCAGGCGGUACGGGAUGGGCAUGCGGAACAUUAGCUAGUUGGCAGGGUAACGGCCUACCAAGGCUGCGAUGUUUAGGGGACCUGAGAGGGUUAUGCCCCACAAUGGUAUUGAGAGACGGACCAGACUCAUACGUGAGGCAGCAGUGAGGAAUAUUGGUCAAUUGGCGCAAGCCUGAACCAGCCAUCCCGCGUGAAGGAAGAAGGCGCUAUGCGUUGUAAACUUCUUUUCCAGGGGGAGAAUUUUUCCGUCGUGACGGGAAUUGACGGUACUCUGGGAAUAAGCAUCGGCUAACUCCGUGCCAGCAGCCGCAGUAA